rnacentral:rRNA from 1 species
UACGGAGGGGGCUAGCGUUGUUCGGAAUUGCUGGGCGUAAAGCGCACGUAGGCGGACUGUUAAGUCGGGGGUGAAAUCCUGGGGCUCAACCUCAGAAUUGCCUCCGAUACUGGCAGUCUCGAGUGCGGGAGAGGUGAGUGGAAUUCCCAGUGUAGAGGUGAAAUUCGUAGAUAUUGGGAAGAACACCAGUGGCGAAGGCGGCUCACUGGCCCGUAACUGACGCUGAGGUGCGAAAGCCAGGGGAGCAAACGGG